AUUGAACGCUGGCGGCAGGCUUAACACAUGCAAGUCGAGCGGGGGAAGGUAGCUUGCUACCGGACCUAGCGGCGGACGGGUGAGUAAUGCUUAGGAAUCUGCCUACUAGUGGGGGACAACAUCUCGAAAGGGAUGCUAAUACCGCAUACGUCCUACGGGAGAAAGCAGGGGAUCUUCGGACCUUGCGCUAAUAGAUGAGCCUAAGUCGGAUUAGCUAGUUGGUGGGGUAAAGGCCUACCAAGGCGACGAUCUGUAGCGGGUCUGAGAGGAUGGGCCGCCACACUGGGACUGAGACACGGCCCGGACUCCUACGGGAGGCAGUAGUGGGGAAUAUUGGACAAUGGGGGGAACCCUGAUCCAGCCAUGCCGCGUGUGUGAAGAAGGCCUUAUGGUUGUAAAGCACUUUAAGCGAGGAGGAGGCUACUCUAGUUAAUACCUAGGGAUAGUGGACGUUACUCGCAGAAUAAGCACCGGCUAACUCUGUGCCAGCCGCCGCGGUAA
rnacentral:rRNA from 1 species